rnacentral:lncRNA from 1 species
CCCCACCACCACCGUUUCCUCCUCCAGACCCGUAACCACUACCGGACCCAUACCCUGAACCGUAGCCACUCCCUGAACCUGAUCCUUCUCCUCCUCCUCCACCACCACCACCACCACCACCACCGCCGCCACCUCCUCCUCCACCAUUGCCUCCCCCGGAUCCCGAACCAUAACCAGAACCUGAACCAGCGCCUCUACCGAGACCUCUUGGUGAUCUAGCUGCUAAACAUAUGUCAAAAAUAACCAAGAACAAGAAAGCACCUCCCAAGAACUUGAGGCUUCCCAUUUUCAUCGCUUCCUCUACGAACCAAACUAAUCAGUCAAUGAUAGAACGAUUCUUCUUUGUGAAAGUUUAAGAAUAAAUGAAGAUAGCUAGAGAAGCCGUUUAAUUGUGAGGUUGUAUCACUUG